AUUGAACGCUGGCGGCAGGCCUAACACCUGCAAGUCGAACGAGUGGCGGACGGGUGAGUAAUGCUUGGGAAACUGUCUGAUGGAGGGGGAUAACUACUGGAAACGGUAGCUAAUACCGCAUACCAUCGGUUGUGCCCAGAUGGGCUUAGGUAGGAGGUGGGGUAACGGCUCACCCAGGUGACGAUCCCUAGCUGGUCUGAGAGGAUGACCAGCGACACCGUGACUAGUACACGGUCCAGAGUCCUAGGGGAGGCAGCAGAUGGGAAUAUUGCACAAAGGGCGCAAACCGGAUGCAGCCAUGUCGCGUGUAUGAAGAAGGCCGUCGGGUUGUAGAGUGCUUUCAUCAGCGAGGCGUUGCCCGCAGAAGAAGCAGCGGCUAACUCCGUGCGAGCAGCCGCGGUAAUUC
rnacentral:rRNA from 1 species